AGAGGGUGCAAGCGUUAAUCGGAAUUACUGGGCGUAAAGCGUGCGUAGUCGGUUAUCUAAGUCGGGUGUGAAAUCCCCGGGCUCAACCUGGGAAUUGCAUUCGAUACUGGAUAGCUAGAGUUCGGCAGAGGGAAGCGGAAUUUCGGGUGUAGCGGUGAAAUGCGUAGAUAUCCGAAGGAACAUCAGUGGCGAAAGCGGCUUCCUGGACCAGAACUGACGAUCAGGCACGAAAGCUAGGGGAGCAAACAGGAUUAGAUACCCUGGUAGUCCACGCCGUAAACGAUGAGUGCUAGAUGUUUCUGGUAUUGACCCCGGAGGCGUCGUAGCUAACGCGUUAAGCACUCCGCCUGGGGAGUACGGCCGCAAGGCUA
rnacentral:rRNA from 1 species